rnacentral:rRNA from 1 species
UUUAUAUAAUACUGUAAGGGAGAUAAUAUAAAAUUAAUAAUAUAAUUUAUACCUUUUGCAUAAUGGUUAAACAAAGUUUUAAAAUAAUGUUUUAUCCCGAAAUUAGAGGAUCUAAUUUUAAUAUUUUAUUAGAAUAUACAUAUAUAAUGUUUCAAAAUUAUUUUAAAAUUAAAAUUAGUGGUGAAAGGCUUAUCAAAUCUAAUAAUAUCUGGAAUAAUUUUAAAUGUAUUUAGUACAUAAUUAAUUUUGAUUAAAGUAAUGUUGAGAUUUUUUUAAUAAGUAGAAUAUUUAUUUAAUGUUAUUUUAUUGAUUAAACUUUUAAUAAAUUUACAUAAAUAUUAAUUUAAAAUUAACUUAUCUAAUAUAGUAAAAUUAUAUUUUAAUAAUUAUUUAUAAAAAUAAUUAUGUUUAAAUAAGUAUAAAUGAUUAUUUUUAUAAUAGGAACUCGGCAAAUAUAUUAUUCAACUGUUUAUCAAAAACAUAGCCUUAUGAAUAAUAAUAUAAGGUGAAACCUGCCCAUUGAAAAUUAAAUAUUUAACGGCCGCAGUACUUUGACUGUGCUAAGGUAGCAUAAUAAUUUGACUCUUAAUUGGGGCCUAGAAUGAAAGGAUUAAUGAAAUAAUCUCUAUCUUUAAUAAAUUAAUUAAAAGUUACUUAAAAGGUGAAAAUUCCUUUAAGUUAUAAUAUAGACGAGAAGACCCUAGGAGUUUAUAUUUUUGUUGGGGCGACAAUAUAGCAAUAUUUAACCUAUAAAUUAUUAUUUAAAUUUAACGAAAUAAAAUUUUAAUAAUAAAGAAACUACCCUAGGGAUAACAGCAUAAUUUAAUUUUCUAAGUUUAUGACCUCGAUGUUGGA